GCCUUUGUCCCGGAUUUUAUUGGGGCGUAAAAGCGAGCGCCGGGCGGUUUUUUAAAGUCUGAAUGUGAAAAGCCUUCGGGCUCAACCGAAGGAAGUGCAUCGGAAAACUGGGAAACUUGAGUGCAGAAGAAGGACAGUGGAACUCCAUGUGUAGCGGUGAAAUGCGUAGAUAUAUGGAAGAACACCAGUGGCGAAGGCGGCUGUCUGGUCUGUAACUGACGCUGAGGCUCGAAAGUAUGGGUAGCAAACAGGAUUAGAUACCCUGGUAGUCCAUACCGUAAACGAUGAAUGCUAAGUGUUGGAGGGUUUCCGCCCUUCAGUGCUGCAGCUAACGCAUUAAGCAUUCCGCCUGGGGAGUACGGCCGCAAGGCUGAAACUCAAAGGAAUUGACGGGGGCCCGCACAAGCGGUGGAGCAUGUGGUUUAAUUCGAAGCUACGCGAAGAACCUUACCAGGUCUUGACAUACUAUGCAAAUCUAAGAGAUUAGACGUUCCCUUCGGGGACAUGGAUACAGGUGGUGCAUGGUUGUCGUCAGCUCGUGUCGUGAGAUGUUGGGUUAAGUCCCGCAACGAGCGCAACCCUUAUUAUCAGUUGCCAGCAUUAAGUUGGGCACUCUGGUGAGACUGCCGGUGACAAACCGGAGGAAGGUGGGGAUGACGUCAAAUCAUCAUGCCCCUUAUGACCUGGGCUACACACGUGCUACAAUGGAUGGUACAACGAGUUGCGAACUCGCGAGAGUAAGCUAAUCUCUUAAAGCCAUUCUCAGUUCGGAUUGUAGGCUGCAACUCGCCUACAUGAAGUCGGAAUCGCUAGUAAUCGCGGAUCAGCAUGCCGCGGUGAAUACGUUCCCGGGCCUUGUACACACCGCCCGUCACACCAUGAGAGUUUGUAACACCCAAAGUCGGUGGGGUAACCUUUAGGAACCAGCCGCCUAAGUGACAGAGAUGGAG
rnacentral:rRNA from 1 species